rnacentral:rRNA from 1 species
ACCUACGGGAGGCAGCAGCAAGGAAUUUUGCGCAAUGGACGAAAGUCUGACGCAGCAACGCCGCGUGGGGGAUGAAGGCCUUCGGGUUGUAAACCCCUUUUGCGAGGGAAGAAGAUCUGACGGUACCUCGCGAAGAAGCCACGGCUAACUACGUGCCAGCAGCCGCGGUAAUACGUAGGUGGCAAGCGUUGUCCGGAUUUACUGGGCGUAAAGCGCGCGCAGGCGGACUGGUCAGUCUGGGGUGAAAUCUCACGGCUCAACUGUGAGUGGUCCCUGGAUACUGCCAGCCUUGAGGUGUCUAGAGGAGAGCGGAAUUCCCGGUGUAGUGGUGGAAUGCGUAGAUAUCGGGAAGAACACCAGUGGCGAAAGCGGCUCUCUGGGGAUGACCUGACGCUGAGGCGCGAAAGCGUGGGGAGCGAACCGGAUUAGAAACCCCUGUAGUCCC